rnacentral:lncRNA from 1 species
CGAUGCCUUGAGCCUUCCUCACCUCCUUUGCGUACAUGAUGUUGGGGCAUUCUCCGGUAAAUAAGUAUAAAUGACCUUGGGGUAUUCUCCGACUAAAUAAAUACACUUGCAGUUUGUGAUAAAGUAGAAAGAAAUAUUCACACUCACAUUCAAACAUUCAACAAAACACCAUUCUUAAAUUUGUCUACCCGAGCCUACUGUUUGCCUAUCAAUUUCAAUCCAUUAUGAUGCUAUUGCGUAUAACAACAUCAACACUUAUUCCAAAUUAAAUAAUCAUCAAUGAAUCAAAAUAACUAACUUUUAUUUUUCAUCAAAACCAACCCUUUCCCAAAUUCAUUCUCAAAAUAAUUAAUCAAUUCUUCGACUACCAAUUCAAGUUUUCACAUUCAAAUCCAUCAUCAACCAACACACAACAAAGAUACAAACAUGUCAAACAGCAAAUCAUUCACAUUCACGUUGAAAUUAAAGGGAAAGAAGAUAGAAUUGAACCUCAAUGCCACUUUUAAAAUCAAUGUAUUAUUUCGAUUAACCCAGUAGAAUCAGCAUCUGAAGUACCUUGAUUUGAACCUCAAUAACGAACAACACCAAUCUUGAUAUACCCUUUUCGCUUUGCUUUUACCAAUUCAAACCCACAACUCGACUAAUCUAUCCAACCCGCUCCCAUUUUUCUCUAGUUUGAGACAAAAACCACGACAAUAAGAAUUAACCACACCUAAACCGACACAACAAGACUGUUUUGGUGUCUUCUCCAAUCGGUCUCAUCGGAAGUGGAAACAGGGGGGGUCGGGUUUGGUGGUUUUUAGCUGUAAAAUCACAGGUGCUCCGGUGGCGGGUAUUUUUUGGCGUUUAGCCGAGUUUUUUGGUGAACGAUCAAUCGCCAGAACAGUGUUCUCCGACCUCUCUCUCGAUCUAUCUCACUCUCUCAAUUUUCUCUGGUUUCUCGAUCUCUCUCUCCUCUAUUCUUUUUUCACUAUUUUUCCCAAAUUCCCCUAUUUUUCUUCUCUCGACCUCACUGUGUGUGUCGUGAAUCCGAUGAGGUGAGUGUGUUUAUGGUGAGUUUUUGCGAAUGGAACAAAAUAGUGUAUGUGUGAUUCUAUUGAUGAGCAUCUAUGUGUGAUGUGAUUUUUAGUUGUGUGAAUAAGUAUGUUAUGUGCGUGUGAAAUUCCAGUGAGGUGUAGUGAUUUCUCUGUAUGUGCCCUGGUGAAGAAGAAGCAAAUAUGGCCUAUGUAAUGGUGUAUAUGCAUGUGUUGUUGUGUGCGUGAUGUUAUUUGUAUAUUGUGAGGAUUGAAAAAUGGAGAAGUCCCCUUUUUUAUUUGUGCUACUAUGUGUAUAUAUUAAAUUGUGAGUGAAAAAAAAAUGUGCCAAGGGUGGGGUGGGGUAUGUGGGUAUGGGGUUAGGGGGUUGGGUAGGGUAGUGGUGAGGUGUUAAAAUUAGUUAGAAUAAGGGAAUAUUAGGGAUUAGGGAUUUAAUUUGUUAGGAUUUGGUUAUUUUUUGUUUUUUUGUGGGGAAACUGUAAAGUGGGUGAGGAUGUAUGAUAAGGUGAGGCAAAAAUGAAUAAAAUUGAACUUCGAGAGGAAAAAAAUUAGGUGUCUACAAUUCUUGCCAGCUUAGGGUGUGACCCUUAGUAGCAAUCCUUGAGUUAUAAAACUACGUAGCCAGCGUAGGUUAAUGUGUCUUCCUACCAGUCUAGGGUUGGCAUGCAUAUUUACAUCUCUGAGUCUUCCUGCCAGAUUAGGAUUGACCCAAGUAACCUGUGGCACGAUACUAACACCCUUCCAACUGGGGUUAUAGUUUGGACCCUAAAUCAGUUAACAUUAGGGCAUGUCGGUU